rnacentral:lncRNA from 1 species
CUUUGUCCUCUGGAAUCUCAUCCCUUUGUUGUUACCCUCUAACCAAUCAACGUGCAGCCUUACCCGGGAACGCCCAUAAUCAUCGAGAGCCAGCCAAUCAAAUGAAUUUCUGCAGCAGGACUCCAUUUUGUUGGGUUAUAUGUGCAGUGGACGGGGCGUCCCGCGGCCGCUGGCUGGAACCUGUUGCUUCGCAGUUCCGUGUUGUGCAAUGGACGGUUUUUUCCUGCGCAGAUUAAAACGGUGCAGGGGUUAACACGAAGCGCUGACUAGGGCCCGAAUGAAGGAGCGGCUCUGACUGGGGAGUUAGGAGCGCGAGGCUCAGGUCGCAGCAG